rnacentral:rRNA from 1 species
AACGAACGCUGGCGGCAUGCCUAACACAUGCAAGUCGAACGAGACCUUCGGGUCUAGUUGCGCACGGGUGCGUACCGCGUGGGAACCUGCCCUUAGGUUCGGAAUAACUCCCCGAAAGGUGUGCUAAUACCGGAUAAUGUCUUCGGACCAAAGAUUUAUCGCCUUUGGAUGGGCCCGCGUUGGAUUAGCUAGUUGGUGGGGUAAAAGCCUACCAACGCGACGAUCCAUAGCUGGUCUGAGAGGAUGAUCAGCCACACUGGGACUGAGACACGGCCCAGACUCCUACGGGAGGAAGCAGUGGGGAAUAUUGGACAAUGGGCGAAAGACUGAUCCAGCAAUGCCGCGUGAGUGAUGAAGGCCUUAGGGUUGUAAAGCUCUUUUACCCGGGAUGAUAAUGACAGUACCGGGAGAAUAAGCUCCGGCUAACUCCGUG